rnacentral:rRNA from 1 species
GACGAACGCUGGCGGCGUGCUUAACACAUGCAAGUCGAACGAUGAAGCCUAGCUUGCUAGGUGGAUUAGUGGCGAACGGGUGAGUAAUACGUGAGUAACCUACCUUUAACUCUGGGAUAAGCCCGGGAAACUGGGUCUAAUACCGGAUACGACCAAUCUCCGCAUGGGGUGUUGGUGGAAAGCGUUAUGUAGUGGUUAUAGAUGGGCUCACGGCCUAUCAGCUUGUUGGUGAGGUAACGGCUCACCAAGGCGACGACGGGUAGCCGGCCUGAGAGGGUGACCGGCAACACUGGGAAUGAGACACGGCCCAGACUCCUACGGGAGGCAGCAGUGGGGAAUAUUGCACAAUGGGCGCAAGCCUGAUGCAGCGACGCCGCGUGAGGGAUGACGGCCUUCGGGUUGUAAACCUCUGUUAGCAGGGAAGAAGAGAGAUUGACGGUACCUGCAUAGAAAGCGCCGGCUAACUACGUG